UACGUAGGGGGCAAGCGUUGUCCGGAAUCAUUGGGCGUAAAGCGCGCGUAGGCGGCCCGGUAAGUCCGCUCUGAAAGUCCAGGGCUCAACCCUGGAAAGCGGGUGGAUACUGCCGGGCUAGAGUACGGAAGAGGUGAGUGGAAUUCCUGGUGUAGCGGUGGAAUGCGCAGAUAUCAGGAGGAACACCUAUAGCGAAGGCAGCUCGCUGGGACGUUACUGACGCUGAGGCGCGAAAGCGUGGGGAGCGAACAGG
rnacentral:rRNA from 1 species